GAUGUGAUGCUUUGAUUCGCUGGGAUGAUGCUGACACUGCUUUUAACCUGCUGGAAACAGCUGGCUGCUAAGGCCAGUUGCUAGAGAGAUGGUCCCUUAGUAAAGAGAAUGUGUGCCAUAUGGCAGAGGAUGAGAAGGAUGGCAGAACUUUGAAGGUCAACAAACAGGCCCAGCAGAACCUGAGCAGAGAUAUAGAAAGCAGAACUAUGGAUGACAACAGGGGACCAAUAACGAAUUGGCUGGAAGCCUGAAAAAGGAAGUUAUCAACAUCCAGCUUGGAAGAGGAUCAUCACUGGAUAUGGUCCAGAUGGAUUCACAACUGAAUUUUAUCAAACAUUCAAAGAACAAUUAAUUCUAAUACUACAUAAACUAUUUACAAAAAUAGCAAAAGAAGGGCUAUAAAUCAGUUCAAUGAUAUAGAUAUGAUCUUCAUACACAAACCAGGAAGAGUCAAAACAGA